GACUUUGUGAAAUAUCGAGAUGUCAACAAGAUGAAAUAAAGAAAAUUUCGAAAUGAAUUCAGUUCGUAGUUAAGGAGUUGGUCAGAGGUUAUAAAAUACACAGAUAAAUUCGGCACGAAUUGGAAAAGUGCCAAGAAGUGCGUGACAUCUACAAAGGCAAGAAGAUAAAAAUGAAUAUCGAAGAUCAAGUAUUCGAACGAGAUUUCUUGCAAGUCUUCUUUUAUCUCUUAUAGGAGCUUGGAAGUAUUAUAAAAAACAGAAUCAAAUUUUGUAGAAUUGAAUACCUACAUAUGUAUUAUUUACUUAUAAUACACGACAAAUAUAAAUAUGCACAUGUCAAAUUUUCAGAGAAAAAGAAGAAUUAACUGCAUCAAAAGAAAAAAUGUUGGAUUUUACACAACACAUUAUACGAGAAUACUUAAAAUACUAUAAUCUGGAAAACCUUCAGUAAGAAGUUUCUACAUAAAAGGAAAUAUGUACUGUUUGCUAAUCGGAAAUAGGAAAUUGCCACGGUUUCUUGCAAUUCAUCAAGUUGAUUUCAUCGCGAUUAAAGCAAGUAAUUAAAUCGUCUAUUUCGAGUGGAACACCAUGUGUAAUGAUAUUAAUAACUUCCAUGUACAUGUACAAAGUAUUUCGCUCAUCCUUCUUCGCUUACAUACUUUCGCUAUUUUGGCAACACGAGGGAGCGUUACGAAGAAUAAAUUAUUUGGUUUUAUAUAAGAUGUAUUUCCUUCAAAAAAGUUUGGCAUUCAACAUCAUUCCUUUUCAUAAUUAGUUAUCACUGAGAUCCGAAAUUAGUUAUAACACAUUUACUUUCACGUCUAUGUGGAAGAAAUGAAUGACAUUCGUAAUAUAGUAUACAUAAUUAUGUAAAUAUAUCUAUUUUAGAAGGUGGUGAAACGAUUAAAUUUGUGAUUACAUCUUCAUAACAUGAAAAAGCGUGCAAAGAAAAUUUCAACGCAUAUGGAUCAUAUUAAAUUUGAUAUUUAUUGAAAGUAUGAAAUAGUUAUUUAUUUGUUGUUCAAAGAUACGUGGAAAUUAAUAACAAUCGUAAAUUACAUAUUUUUAUACCGACAUAAACUUCAAAACUACUUUUCCAUCGUAUAAAACGACUCUCUUUGUCUAAGAUCAUUUAAAGACUAAUUAUGCGUCGGUGAUUAUGAAAAUGGCCUAUGUUAUUUAUUUUUCGUAUCGAGAUAUUUAAAGCGUUCCGUUCGAA